UUUAAUGAGAGUUUGAUCCUGGCUCAGGACGAACGCUGGCGGCGUGCCUAAUACAUGCAAGUAGAACGCUGAGGUUUGGUGUUUACACUAGACUGAUGAGUUGCGAACGGGUGAGUAACGCGUAGGUAACCUGCCUCAUAGCGGGGGAUAACUAUUGGAAACGAUAGCUAAUACCGCAUAAGAGUAAUUAACACAUGUUAGUUAUUUAAAAGGAGCAAUUGCUUCACUGUGAGAUGGACCUGCGUUGUAUUAG
rnacentral:ncRNA from 2 species